rfam:Serratia sp. M24T3 contig040, whole genome shotgun sequence.
GCUUCGGGACGACCCGCAGAAUGUCACGCAAAAACUCAGCAGGACGACCUGC